rnacentral:rRNA from 1 species
UACGGAGGGUGCAAGCGUUGUCCGGAAUCACUGGGCGUAAAGGGCGCGUAGGCGGUUUAUGCAGUCGGGCGUGAAAGCCCUGGGCUCAACCCAGGAAGUGCACUCGAAACUGGCGGGCUUGAAUAUGGAAGAGGGUCGCGGAAUUCCCGGUGUAGAGGUGAAAUUCGUAGAUAUCGGGAGGAACACCAGUGGCGAAGGCGGCGACCUGGGCCAAUAUUGACGCUGAGGUGCGAAAGCGUGGGGAGCAAACAGG